AGAUUGAACGCUGGCGGCAUGCCUUACACAUGCAAGUCGAACGGCAGCACGGGGGCAACCCUGGUGGCGAGUGGCGAACGGGUGAGUAAUGCAUCGGAACGUGCCCAGUAGUGGGGGAUAACUAGUCGAAAGAUUAGCUAAUACCGCAUACGACCUAGUGGGUAGAAAGGCGGGGAUUCGACAAGAACCUCGCGCUAGUCGGAGCGGCCGAUGUCUGAUUAGCUAGGUUGGACGGGGUAAAGCCCACAAGGCUUCGAUCAGUAGCUGGUCUGAGAGGACGACCAGCCACACUGGGACUGAGACACGGCCCAGACUCCGUACGGGAGCAGCAGGUGGGGAAUUUUGGACAAGUGGGCGACAAGCCUGAUCCAGCCAUCGCCGCGUGGCGGGAAGAACGGUCCGUUCGGUUACGUAAACCGUCGUUUUGGACGAACGGAAACGAAACGGCGACGAGACCGAAUACUCGUACGUACGUUUAAGU
rnacentral:rRNA from 1 species